GUUGCCGACCGGGGUAAAGUCCGGUAUGCCCACAAGGCUUCAUUCAAUUUUAAAUGCCACAUGCCAAGUCUUUCUUUUAUCAUUUUUUUGAGAAUGCAGAUCAAAACCUUAUUACUCGUUUUGGCUUGUCCAUUCACUUAUGGAUAGUAUGUUGUGGACUGCUCAAGUCGAAUUUUAAAGUUCGCCGUAUACUCUUUGAACCUUUCGGCUGUGAAGAUUGUGCCAUUAUCAGUUAUGAUUGCUCUUGGUACAUCGAAUCUGGUCAUAAUAUGUUCCUCCACAAAAUCCGAACUCAAAUGAGAGACUAAACCACAUGAUUAAGAAUCAUGUAUAAUGGUGACGUCGUUAUUCUCAAGGUUGCUUCUAUGGAUAACAUAUAGAUAUCCAUUUUCUAGGCCUACUACUCAGCCAUUUUUGAAAUGACUACAUAAGAGGUAUCAUCAUUGAUGACCAAGCUGAUUGGCUCUAGUGCAAGUGGGAGAUUGUUGGAAAUGUGCCCUAAAACCAAUCAUAUGAUGAUACUUUACGGACAUUUCACAUGUUAAACUAAUAUAGUUUAAUUUAAAGGGCAAAGAUUAUUGUUUGAAGCCAUCUCAUAUAAAUGUUAUACGCUUAAACGAUAAGUCCAAGGAAUAUGUAAUUGGGAGAAUGCAAUCUAAAGAAGUUAGAUUCAUGAGACCAUUCUCUUCCGUAUACAUAUCCUAAACAUUCCUGAUCAUAGGAUUGCCAAUUGAGCAUUGACAGUUCGUUAAGAUCAGUACGUGUUAUGUCUUCUCUUAGGGAGAGUGACUGGUCUCGAGUCAUUAGUGUGACUGACACCAAGACAAGCAUGUAGGUGCUCAAUAGAGAAUGAGUCCACUAAACACGAUCAACAAGGAGUUCUCAUACUCAUGUCACUUGAGAACUCAUGGUUCGGAUAAUGCAAAGUAGUCUUUUGACCUGAGGCAUCAUAGUUGUCUUGUGGUUAGGUCCUUGAUCUUUGACUAUGUCAAAGUCACUCCGUCAGAGGGUGUCCACGACAUAGUUGGGGUUAAGCCAUUUAGCCAUAGAGGCAAGUGAAUGCGCAACAAGGGAUCUCUAACCUUCAAACUGUUUGAGGGAGACUACUCUAUGAUAUGAUUAAGAAUCUCUGGCCAAAGUAUGAAUAAGAUUUAGGAAGUCGUUCCAAAUCACAUUCAAGGUAAUCAUAUAAGUAAGAGAAUCACAUUGGAUAGUAGACAUGAAUAAACUAUCAAACUAAACAAUGUGGUCAAGAGUAUUGUAUUAGAGAAAGACCGUAUUACAUUGUAAUCCUAAACUGAAUAGGUUCUCCACCUCUUUCGAUUAGCUUGGGUAACCAUGACAUACUGCUAGGUGUCACUCAUGGUUUGUGGAGCCCUAAACGUGUAUAAUCACGAAAAGGAGAAUUAAAAGUAAGUUUCAAUUCACAAUCGAUUUAAAAGAGUUCUAAUCGCCCACUGCCUCGCUAAAAGGAACCUAAUGG
rnacentral:lncRNA from 1 species